GACGAACCGUGCAAACGUUAUUCGGAAUCACUGGGCUUAAAGCGCGUGUAGGCGGGCCGGCACGUCGGUCGCUGAAAUCCCCCGGCUCAACCGGGGAACCGGCGGCGAUACGACCGGCCUGGAGGGAGGUAGGGGGCGCCGGAACUGCCGGUGGAGCGGUGAAAUGCGUUGAGAUCGGCAGGAACGCCCGUGGCGAAAGCGGGCGCCUGGACCUCGCCUGACGCUGAGACGCGAAAGCCAGGGGAGCGAACGGG
rnacentral:rRNA from 1 species